UUUCAUGUUUAUUCUGAGUAAAAGAAGCUGUUAAAAAUGUGCCUUUGUCGCAUGGGAUAAAAUAAUAGUGGGCCAUUGUAAAUUGAGAUGAAAUAACCAUUUUCAUCUUUUCUGCAUGGACUAGACAUUG